rnacentral:rRNA from 1 species
GACGAACGCUGGCGGCGUGCUUAACACAUGCAAGUCGAACGGAAAGGCCCCUUUGGGGGUACUCGAGUGGCGAACGGGCGAGUAACACGUGAGUAACCUGCCCUUGACUUCGGGAUAACUUCCGGCAACUGGGGCCAAUACCGGAUAGGAAUCCUUGCCGCAUGGUGGGGGUUGGAAAGCUUCGGCGGUUUUGGAUGGCCUGCCGCCUGAUCGGUUGGUUGGUGGGGUAGUGGCUUACUAAGGCUUUGACGGGUAGCCGGCCUGGGAGGCGGACGGCCACAUUGGGACUGAGAUACGGCCCAGACUCCUACGGGGGGCAGCAGUGGGGAAUAUUGCACAAUGGGCGGGAGCCUGAUGCAGCAACGCCGCGUGCGGGAUGACGGCCUUCGGGUUGUAAACCGGUUUCAGCAGGGGCGAAGCUUGUGGUGACGGUACCUGCAGAAGAAGCACCGGCUAACUACGUG